GAAAUUCACUAUAACAAGUAGAAUAUGUUAAGGACCAUAAGAGAGGUAAAAGGCACCAGGGCUUGGAGAGCUAUGACUACCUUGAGCUGUGGUGAUCAAGAGAGGCCUUGGCUGGACAUGGGAUUUGUCCAUGAGUGAUAGGGGAAAGGGUGAACCAGGCUUGGGAAGAAAAUCAUGAAAGGGAAAAUUCCAGAUACUCAUAGGUUAGGCAGUGUUGAUGGGGACCACUAGUAAUAGUAGCAACAAGAACAAUACAACUAAUAUGCAUGUAUAACUUUACACUUUACAAAGAACUCCUGUGCACAGAAACACAUAUAAUGUAGUGGUGAAAAGCGCAUGGUCUAGAGUCAGAAAACUUUAGUUCUGAUUCCUAGCUCUGCUGCUUACUAACCUUAUGACCUUGGGCAAGUUAUUGAACUUUGCCAUUUCUUUUCUUUCAUCAUCUGAAAAAAAAAUUGAGUUAGCAAUAAUACUGAUUUCAGAGUUUCGAGGAUCCUGAGCUUAUAUUGGAAAUGGGACUUGACACUUAGUGCCUUUCAAUCAUGCUAGCCAAAUUAUAUAUCUAGAUCUUCACAAUAAAAUUAGAAGGUAGGAACUAUUAUUACCCUCAUGUGAAGACAAAAACUGCUCAGAGGGGUUAAAUUAUUUAUUCAAGGGUACAUAGAAAACUGUAGAGUUGGGACUUAAACUCUAUAGCCCAUUUUUCACUACAUGACACUUUCAUUCAAAUAACUGAAAUUUAAGAACCAUAUAGGUUAAAUUAUAUUCUUAAACUUACUCUGAAUUAUUUGUACUCUCUCUAGUCUUCAUUUUAGGAGUUAAAAAAUGUUAGUGAAACCGUGCACAGUAAGGAUAAAGGUGACUCCAGCGUGCUUGCACUUUGUACUUUUUAAUUAUUCUAUUUUUCACUAAUGUCUCUUCUUCUUUUGUCAUUGACAUUUUAGAUUACUGACAGAACAUUCCAUUAGCUUAAAUGUGUAUUAUCAUUCCAAGUGAUAUUCUUCUAGUCCUUGUGGCUAGAAGUUGGAAGAUGGUUACCUAUUAAAGGUGAAUUUGGCGACAACAAAAUCAUUUGGAAGCAAAUAUAUGGAAUAAAAUAAGUAUAAUUUUUUUUCCUUUGAUUUAAACCUAUUUGGGACUAGUAAGUAAUUAGUUACUUGUCUGGCUCUGAAGGCAGUUCAAAAGUUCAAAGGCAGUUCCAUUGACAGAAUUACAGCAUUGUUGGAAUAAAUAUUGGUUGAAUUUGCUGAAUAAUCAGGUAACCUCCCUAGGUGACUGUUUUGAGGAACAGUGGUCUUUUGAAUAUUUAAGACCUGAUAUGCUUGUUUUAAAAACAUGUAGUCCCACCAGGCCUAGCAUGCCACCAGCAGGGGGUGC
rnacentral:lncRNA from 1 species